CCUGGCAGUGAUGACACACUUGCCCUCACUGAGAGCUGCUUCACUGCUUCUCUGCUGAGACCUGUACAUGUACUCGCAAGCUGAGCCAGG
ensembl:snoRNA